CUGCAAUGAUGCUUUGAAUUUCUUCACCUGAAGAGACAUUAAGACUCUUUGUGGAUUUACAUAAUCGAGCUUUUUAAAUCUGAGCAGG